GAUGAAGAACGUAGCGAAAUGCGAUAAGUAAUGUGAAUUGCAGAAUUCAGUGAAUCAUCGAAUCUUUGAACGCACUUUGCGCCCUCUGGUAUUCCGGGGGGCAUGCCUGUUCGAGCGUCAUUAUAACCACUCAAGCUCUCGCUUGGUAUUGGAGUUCGCGAUCUCGCGGCUCCUAAAAUCAGUGGCGGUGCCUGUCGGCUCUACGCGUAGUAAUACUCCUCGCGAUUGAGUCCGGUAGGUUUACUUGCCAGCAACCCCCAAUUUUUACAGGUUGACCUCGGAUCAGGUAGGGAUACCCGCUGAACUUAAGCAUAUCAAUAAGCGGAGGA
rnacentral:misc_RNA from 1 species